rfam:Nicotiana attenuata strain TT chromosome 8, whole genome shotgun sequence.
UAUUAAUCCAGCUACAUAUUGGCUUAAGGAAAGCCAUUUACUACUUUUAUUUCAUGCAUGGAGAUAGAAGACCCACAGGUAGUGCACUUCUUUUCCCGGAGAAGAAGUAGACGAUAUUUGGAGAAUAAGUAUUGGCUAACUCUGUGCUAAUAAUUGCGGUAAUACAGAGAAUGCAAGCAUUCUUCGGAAUGAUUGAGCGUAGAGCGUCCGUAGGGCCCUACAGUCGCCUCCACA